rnacentral:rRNA from 1 species
UACGGAGGGGGCUAGCGUUGUUCGGAAUUACUGGGCGUAAAGCGCACGUAGGCGGCUUUGUAAGUUAGAGGUGAAAGCCCAGGGCUUAACCUGGGAAUGGCAUUUGGGACUGCAAGGCUUGAGUGCGGCAGAGGAGACUGGAAUUCCUGGUGUAGCAGUGAAAUGCGUAGAUAUCAGGAGGAACACCGAUGGCGAAGGCAGGUCUCUGGGCUGACACUGACGCUCAUGCACGAAAGCGUGGGGAGCAAACAGG